rnacentral:lncRNA from 1 species
UCACUCCCCUCCGUCUGAGCAGGCUGGCUUCAGCUCACAGAGGCUUUUUUCCCUCGCAGACGGAAAAUAUUCCUCAGUGGAGCCCCAGGAUUUGAGUGACACAACAACAAUAUUCCCUCCAAGCGUGUGGGGCAGCCAGGUGAGAGAGGCUUUGCUGGCACCGCCGGGGAUGCGCUGACGCCGGCUCCUGGCCCCGGCCGGAGGCUUCGAAGCACACGAUGCUUUCCAAGUGGGAUUGCACCUGGAGAUUUGCACCUUCUCCAGCCUGGAAGGAGCAGCCAGAAUGGCAGUGCCUUGCUGAGGCUGUGCUACAGCCAGUGCCCAGGAGCAAGGAGACUUCAGACCCUUCUGCAGCCCCUGGACACAGCCUGGCAGUGCUGGAGACCUCUCCUACUCCCAGCCAGAGAUCCCAAAAAAUGGAAUAACCCCUUCAAGGCUCCCCUCUGGAUGGGAAAACACUGCUUGGUUCAGCUUUGCAUCAGCACAACUCUUCCCCCAGCACAUCCUUUGGGACAGCUGCUGUUGUUACCCUCUGCUCCAGAGCUGAGCCGCAGCACCUACCAAGGAGCCUUUUCCCAGCUCAGACAAGGGCAACGGGCAAUUGAGAUUUGAAGACACUGGCAAAGAAAGAAGCAGCCCACAAAUAGCCGGUAGAAAGCCCUACAACAGCGCAGCAAACAUUUCCUAAUUUACUGCAAUGCCAGAAGAUGAGUCACCCCAGUGUUCCUGUUGCAUAAUCUUCCCCAAAGCUCAGGAGAGUGAAACCAGAGAAGCAAAGGUCUCGCUGGGCUUUCAGUGACAUUUAUGUUUAGACUGAACUUUCAGUUAGGAAAGUGUGAGUUUUUCUCUGAUGACAAAGGAGGGGGAACCGAUAGAGUAAGGUGUUCUUUCGGAAAUGAUAAACUCCUGGGUGUACAGAUUGUCAUCUCCCUAAGCCCCCAGCCGGAGCACGGGCUCCUCUGCCCUUCCUGACUCCCAGACAGGUCUCCCCAUGACCUGUUCAGCCUUGCCUGGUCCCCGGGGAGCACAGCUGGGCCCUGAGAGCUGUAAAACCCCUCCAGACAAAGCACGGCCAUCCCUCAAGGCUGGCUUAGCUCACGGAAGGAUCGUGGGGCUCCCCAGACCUUUCGGUGGCUGCAGGAGGGCUGGAAACUCCUGACACGUGUUUGCCGUGCCUCAGCAUCGUGCCGGGGUAGAUCCAGCCCUUCCAAAGCAGCAGGAUCGCCUGGCACGCAGGGAGCCCCGGGCACACACGGCUGUGCUGCCUGCGCAGGCACCGGGGAAUCCCACCUGCGGGAAGGGAGUCGGGGCAGGCAGCGAGGCCACUGCUGCACAGCCCCUGAGAGGUGUUACUUAUAUACUGCUCUGUAUUCUAGGGGCUAAUCCACUUUUUAUUCUUUAAAAUCAAGUCAGGUGAAUUAGGGAAUGCUGCUCAUCUUCAGAGGAAUGUCAGGCUGAGGGCUGCAUUCCUGCUGGGCUGUGUUAUCCUGGGUUAGUGCCUGGUGCCAGGCAUUUUUCUGUGCUGAUUUGGUCAAUGUUGUUUCAGAGGAGCCGGAGUGAGCAGCACAGGACUCCUCCACACCUCAGCAACUUUCUGCUCUCUGUUCCACCA